rnacentral:rRNA from 1 species
CCUACGGGCGGCUGCAGUGGGGAAUCUUGCGCAAUGGACGAAAGUCUGACGCAGCGACGCCGCGUGGGUGAUGAAGGCCUUCGGGUUGUAAAGCCCUGUGGGGAGAGAAGAAUAAGUGCGGGCUAAUACCCCGCAUGAUGACGGUAUCUCCUUAGCAAGCACCGGCUAACUCUGUGCCAGCAGCCGCGGUAAGACAGAGGGUGCAAACGUUGUUCGGAAUUGUGUGUAGGAAAGCGUAUAUGUGCGAUCUGAAAGCCCCGGGCUCAACCCGGGAAGUGCACUCGAUACUGUUAGGCUAGAGUACUGGAGAGGUUGGUGGAAUUCUCGGUGUAGAGGUGAAAUUCGUAGAUAUCGAGAGGAACACCGGUGGCGAAGGCGGCCAACUGGACAGAUACUGACGCUGAGACACGAAAGCGUGGGGAGCAAACAGGAUUAGAUACCCCGGUAGUC